UACGAAGGUGGCUAGCGUUGUUCGGAAUUACUGGGCGUAAAGCGCGCGCAGGCGGUUCUUCAAGUCAGAGGUGAAAGCCCAGAGCUCAACUCUGGAAUGGCCUUUGAGACUAGAGAACUAGGGUACGGGAGAGGUGAGUGGAAUUCCGAGUGUAGAGGUGAAAUUCGUAGAUAUUAGGAAGAACACCAGUGGCGAAGGCGGCUCACUGGCCCGGUACUGACGCUGAGGCGCGAAAGCGUGGGGAGCAAACAGG
rnacentral:rRNA from 1 species